rnacentral:rRNA from 1 species
CCAGACUCCUACGGGAGGCAGCAGUGAGGAAUAUUGGUCAAUGGUCGGGAGACUGAACCAGCCAAGCCGCGUGAGGGAUGAAGGUACAGAGUAUCGUAAACCUCUUUUGUCAGGGAACAAAGGCGGGGACGCGUCCCCGGAUGAGUGUACCUGAAGAAAAAGCAUCGGCUAACUCCGUGCCAGCAGCCGCGGUAAUACGGAGGAUGCGAGCGUUAUCCGGAUUUAUUGGGUUUAAAGGGUGCGCAGGCGGUCUGUAAACGCCGCGAAAACCGCGCGGGGCCCCCCCCCGGCCCGCCGUUGAAACUGGCAGUCUCGAGUUGGAGAGAAGUAUGCGGAAUGCGCGGUGUAGCGGUGAAAUGCAUAGAUAUCGCGCAGAACUCCGAUUGCGAAGGCAGCAUGCCGGCUCCACACUGACGCUGAGGCACGAAAGCGUGGGUAUCGAACAGGAUUAGAUACCCCUGUAAG